rnacentral:rRNA from 1 species
UACGUAUGUCGCAAGCGUUAUCCGGAAUUAUUGGGCAUAAAGGGCGUCUAGGCGGUUUAUUAAGUCUGAUGUGAAAAUGCGGAGCUCAACUCCGUAUUGCGUUGGAAACUGGUAGACUAGAGUAUUGGAGAGGUAAGCGGAACUACAAGUGUAGAGGUGAAAUUCGUAGAUAUUUGUAGGAAUGCCAAUGGGGAAGCCAGCUUACUGGACAUAUACUGACGCUGAAGCGCGAAAGCUAGGGGAGCAAACAGGAUUAGAUACCCUGGUAGUCCUAGCUGUAAACGAUGAUCACUGGGUGUGGGGGGUCGAACCUCCGUGCCGAAGUUAAUGCGAUAAGUGAUCCGCCUGGGGAGUACGUUCGCAAGAAUG